UACGAAGGGGGCUAGCGUUGUUCGGAAUCACUGGGCGUAAAGGGCGCGUAGGCGGCCAUAUAAGUCGGGGGGUGAAAGCCUGUGGCUCAACCACAGAAUUGCCUUCGAUACUGUAUGGCUCGAGACCGGAAGAGGUAAGUGGAACUGCGAGUGUAGAGGUGAAAUUCGUAGAUAUUCGCAAGAACACCAGUGGCGAAGGCGGCUUACUGGUCCGGUUCUGACGCUGAGGCGCGAAAAGCGUGGGGAGCGAACGGGG
rnacentral:rRNA from 1 species